UUCUUCUCUCUUUCUUUUGGGUUCGAUGUUCACCAUUGUUUCUUUUUGUUCUCGUUCUUUCUUUCGAUAGGUAACUUCUCUCUCUUCUUUUUCUAUUUCACGUUUCUGUUUUUGUGUUCUUCUUUAACCAUUGUUGUCCCUGUUUUGUUCGUUUGUAUUCAACGUCAUUGCCCACCGCUUCUCGCCGUCCCUUUCACCGACUCUGCUUUCCUUUUCGUUCCUUUCCCUUCAUUACUUCCUCACCCUUAUGAACACCCAAUCUGCUGCUUCUACACGAUGUCUACUCAGUUAUGCCUCUUCACCGAUCUUUCAACAGUUGCCGUCGAUUGUAUUUGAAGCUUUCCUGAUGACGGACUACUUCCACUUUCCCCUUCUUGCGACAGUCCGCUGGAGAAGAAAAUGAUGAGUUUUGCAAGAAAGGCGGCAGACCAACUAAUUUUUACCCUAUGGCGACCGUCCCCGUCUCCAUCUCCAGCGUUCGGAGGAACAGUCGUUGGCUAUGGAAGGUCUAUUUUUUUCCCUUACCUUCUCAAUUUUCUCUAAAGCCAACAUGAUUCUUCCAAUUUGGGCUUAAUUAGUAUCCAAUUUUUUUCCCUUUGCGGGAUGGUUUUUUCGUUUUUUGCAAAUGAUUUUCUAUUUUUGUGUUAUGCGCUGUAGAUACCAGUCCGAGGCAAUUGAGGUCACCGAAUUAUGGCUGGAGAUAGCAGGAACAUAGUUAUUUUUCUUCUACAUCGGGUUUUCUGCAACAUCUUCUUUUAUUGUCCAUGGAUAUUUUGUCCAAUUUUAUGUUGCUAACAGUUUAUUUUUGAAUAAAAAUAAUCCUUGCCCCGUAUCUAAAGGAAAUUUUGCAUUCGGUAUUUGUUGAUGCACUUCAUUAAAUAUGUUCUCUUCCUGUAAUUGGCAUACCAGAAGCUUGUCUGUAAAUAUCGACCUUCAUUGGUCUUUCUUUUUUGCUAUUCCUUUGUUCUUAUACGCAUAACCAUCUCAUAAUAAAUGCAUUUGUUUCUAUUUUAGAAUAUGUCUCACAUUGAUUGGAGUUUGCUUUUUAACAUCCCAUUAAUUUGUCUUUCACUCUUUCUGUGUAUGAAAUGGCAGUGGAUACUGAUUUUGUCUCUACCAUCUGUUUUUCAAUAGUGGAAGCUAAGGUUUGAUGUCAACCAUUUGAUCCACUCUAUUCCUGCUCGACCACCACCACUGUAACUUCUAGCUCUCGGUUGUCACCUGAAAGAUCGGUGGUGGCUGGUGGGUGUGUUUAACUAGCUAACCAGAGAUAUCUGAGCUCCGGUCACCGGACAUGUCGACAUGGCAAGAGACCCAUGUAAGUGCUUUUAUACUGAUGAUAUCGAGUUUCUUUAAUUAUUUUCUAUUAUAUGGUUAAAUCAUUUCAUCUUAUUUCAGGAAUUUCGUAGUCUAUAGUGGUGACAUAGGGCAU
rnacentral:lncRNA from 1 species